CCUACGGGGGGCAGCAGUCGAGAAUCAUUCACAAUGGGGGAAACCCUGAUGGUGCGACGCAGCGUGGGGGAAUGAAGGUCUUCGGAUUGUAAACCCCUGUUAUGUGGGAGCAAAUUAAAAAGAUAGUACCACAAGAGGAAGAGACGGCUAACUCUGUGCCAGCAUCCGCGGUAAUACAGAGGUCUCAAGCGUUGUUCGGAAUCACUGGGCGUAAAGUGUGCGUAGGCUGUUUCGUAAGGCGUGUGUGAAAGGCGCGGGCUCAACCCGCAGACGGCACAUGAUACUGGGAGACUAGAGUAAUGGAGGGGGAACCGGAAUUCUCGGUGUAGCAGUGAAAUGCGUAGAUAUCGAGAGGAACACUCGUGGCGAAGGCGGGUUCCUGGACAUUAACUGACGCUGAGGCACGAAGGCCAGGGGAGCGAAAGGGAUUAGAUACCCCGGUAGUC
rnacentral:rRNA from 1 species